GAGGGAUGGCUUUGGAAAAAAAGACAGUCUAGAGGAAUCUCCCUUUUUAGUUGGAAAAGAUACUGGUUUAAUUUGAAACAGUCAACUCUCUACUGGUUCUCACACCUGAAUGAUACCAAGGCUGACGGUUUUAUAUAUCUACCUGAAUUCCGAAUUGACUUGGCUCCACACUGCAGAAGAAGCAAUGAUUUCCAAGCCUCCCAUGCAAGAAUCAAGAAUUUCUACUUUGCUGCUGAGUGUUCAGAUGAGAUGAAUUAUUGGGUUGGACAAAUGUUACUGUUAGCAUACGGUUCCUCCUUUGGAGAUGCAGCUGCCAAUGAAGAAUACAGACGUAUAGGUGCUAUCAUUUACGCAAACUGUAUUUUGGCCCUGACAAGAGAAUUUCCUGUGAUUCGGUGUAACACUUGCCACCAUCCAACUACUAUUGUUUCCGUGAGUCCAACCUUCCAAUACAGAUGUGCUCAAGACGUCUCUGAUGAGUUCAUCUAUUUUCGUCCAAUUGACGCAGAAGUUCGGGAAGAGGCCAGAAAACAAAAACAUCGGAAAUCAACCAGGGCCUCUCAUCGACACACCAGAGAAGAACACAGUUGCCCACAAACACCAAGAAAUCUGUGGCUGGAAUCUCCAGAAAAUGCAGAGUUCCAAGGAGGUGAUGAUUUGGAAGUAGCAAGAAGCAUGUAUCCUUUUAGAGAAAGACCCAUCCUCCGGCGUUCCUGGGAAGAGCUCUUAGAGGCACCACUGAACAGUGAAGGACUCCACAUACUCCAAACUACUCCUACAGAAGAGAGAGAGAUUGACUACCUCCAGCUGCCACCAGAGGAGGAGAAUCAAGCAACCACUUCGCUGAGGGCUCACCAUCUCCAAGCUUUGCAAGGACCUUUCCCACUGCAUCCUCAGCAUCCGAAGCUCCAGAGGCAGCGUAGUCACAGCUUGCCACGAUACAGUGAUGUCAGAAGCCGAAGACUAAAUGCACCUGAGUUAACAUUAAACCCAGAGGAGACAUGGUUCUUCUUCCCAAGUGAUCAUACUUUGCUUCCAGGAGAAAAUGCAAAGGAAAGUGACAGCAUUGAAGAGGCUUGGCAGAAGACCAUUUUGUCAGCUUCGGGUGAACAUCCUCCUAUCAAUCCAAGUUUUGAGAAGUCUUCUGCAAUGAGGGAUAAAAUUGGAAUUCCUGGAGAUAAUACUAGACUUCCCAGGGGCAAUGUUAGAGUUUCCAGGAAUAAUGUCAUCAUCCCCCAGAUUAAUGUUGGAGUUCCCAUGGGUAAUGUUGGGGUUUCCAUGAAUAAUGCUAGGAUUCCCAUGGAUAAUACUGCAGUUACUUUGGAUAAUUCUAGAGUUCCCAGGGGCAGUGGUGGUGUUCCCAUGGGUAACCUUGAAGUUCCUAGAGGCAAUUAUGGACUUCCCAGGGGCAGUGGUGUUGGAAUUCCCAUGGGUAGUGUUGAAACUCUCAGGAAUAAUGCUGGAACAUCCAGACGUAUUGUAGCUUAUCCACUUACUGAGCUCUCAAAGAUAGGUGAACACCGGGUAUAAAAACUGACACUUUACAAAGCAGUCCUGAUAUUUAAAGGAAUACACCAAGACACUAAACAUCAAAAUGGCAGUAUCAAAUAUUACAAUCUAAAAUAGGAAAUGAAAAAUCUAAAUUUGAAAUGUAUAAGUGAACAUACAAAUAUAUUUAUUAUGGAUGUCUUUUAUCAGAAUUUUUGGAACUAGAUUGGAGUCUACUUACUAGUUUAUUCUGAGUGACAACCCUUUAUUAACCUGUGGAAUAAUCUAGUUGGAGGGGAUGAGUUGUGGAGGAGUAAGACAUUUACUUCAUCAAGCCUAGAUUUCUAUUUAAUAAAGAGAUACAAUGUCUUUGUCUAUCACUAAACAAAGUAACAACUAAUCUCCAAAUGAUAUUGUACAUCUCAUAGUUACCAAAACGUCAGGUUUUCUUGGAUAUUUUGAUGAGCAAAUGAAAGUGAUCUCAUAGUUAUCAAGUUUUCUGGAUGAGUCCAGCUUAAUGUCCAAGAAAUUUAUUUACUAAAAGUUAGGGAACCAGAAAAUUCAGCAGAAGAUUUCUGAAUGCAGUGCUUUUCUGAGAUGUCUAGAUAGGACCUAUGAAGAAAGCCCACUAACAAGAGUAUUUAAACAUACAUAUUUAUUUCUUGUGACACAUAUCUGACAAAAUUGUAAAUAUUUACUGGAAGCCUUAAAAAUACAAGGAGACAAACUGUAGAACUGUAAAUAGAAUACAUGGUUGUGAUGUAAAUACUAUGGUAAGACAACACUAACAGCACCACAGGAUGCCUAAAAUAUUGCAUGCUAGAACAAUAUUUUUCUUUAAGAAAUUAAUUUUGUUUAUUUGUCCCAACUACUAAAUUAGUUUGACAUUAAAAUGCAGGAUAGAAGGGACAAUUAUUGAAAUAUUUUACUAAAUUACUGAAUAAGAUGCCUUUUUCAGAAAAAAAAAAGAGGACCAAUUUUAAUUGUUCCAGAUGGUUAGUAUAGUAUUCAAAUCACACAACCGUAGUUAUCUAUAAAAUUGGGUUUUCAAAAACAUUUAUUUCACACAUCUCUGAAGAUAGACAAGGUAAUAAGGCUCACUCCAUAAACUACAUGGGAAUCUCAUUACUUUCUGUUCAUACAUAACAUAAAUUGUAUCCAAAGUUUUAGGGCAUAUGGGCCAGCACUCAAUUUGUAUAUUUAAAUUUUCAAAUUUCCUGAAUAAUGGUAGCUGUUGUUUUUACAAAACUAAGGGCAAUUUAAAUUAUGGGUACCACCUAACCCCGUAUUGUGUGCCUUACCACAUAGUGCAAGGGGUGGUAGUCUGUGUUAUGAGGGAAAACUCUUGCCUGUUCACAGGUUUUAUUUGGCAUUUGAGGAAGGAGGUAAAGAGGCUGGCUAGCCUCCCUCUUUCACUCUCUGCCGGUUCAGUUGGGUUACUGAACCACGGCCUUGGCCUCAGAAGGAAAGGAAAAGUAGUGAGAUUUCUUUCUCCUACUUCUUCCAGCCCAGAAACUGGAGUACAAUUUCAGACUGGAGUAACCUGAAUCUUGUAUGGGGUGGCCAAACCACAGAAGUAAUGGAAGCAUACAAGCUGCCAUACUUCAGUUACUGCCAACCCCUGACAGAAAAAAACAAACUGACAGUUCACCUUGUUUAACUGAUAGUUUACUCUAUAUGCUCUCUUGUAACACUGACUUUGUGAAACAGAACUAUUGCAUUUCGACCUUCAAAGGGAACCCACCUUGCAAGUGCAAAAAGAGUAAGGUGGAAAAUUUUGAGAUGAAGUACUAAGAACUAACAUUUACCAAACAGCAAGUGAAAAGAAAGACAGCAAACACAAUUAUAUUCAACUGUGUAUAACACUGAUACACAACUAAAGAUGGUGACUAAAACAAAGCAAAACACCACCAUACCACCAUCAAGAAUAAAAUAAAAAAUACCUGCUAUGUGAGUGUUAGUCUUCUUGCUUAUGACCCAUAUAAUUUUGGAUAUUGUGUUUAGUGUCUUAACAUUUAAAUAUAAAAAGUAUAUAUGUAAAAUG
ensembl:lncRNA